AUAUUAUGCAAUAAUAAGUUAAAUUCAUAGAAAAUUCAAAUAUAUUAUAUAAAAUAUGAUUAACCAAUCAAUUUAAAGUACAUUUAUUGAUACAAAAUUAAAUACUACAUAAACAACAUAACCAAGUAAUAGAUUCGUAAUCUGCAACUAGUGUGGUGUUUGUAAUCAAUUAUAUAUUGAUAUUAAAUUUUAAAAUAAUAACACGUUUGUCACAUACAAACGAUUAGUGGACAAUUGUAUUUUUUACAUAAAUAAAGUACCUAAAAUUUUACGUAAAAUUAUUACAAAAAUGAAUUAUACUAUUCAUGUAAUAAUAUGUCUUACUGGUAUUACUGCUAUUCAUAUGGGUUGGAAUAUAGUACAGAAAUUUAGACCAGAAAAGGAUCAACGUAAACAUCCUUUUACAGAAUUAUACAAUGGUUUCACAAAUUCAAAUGACAAUAAAUAAAACAUUAUUGUAAUUAAAUAUUUAUUAAUGUAACAGUAUAUAAUAAAUGUUAUAAAUAUUGAAGAAUUUAUAUUUUUGAAAUUGAAAUCAAUAUUUUUUGUAGUAAUAAUUACAAAUAAUAAUAAUUAAUAAAAUUAAUCAUUUGUUAUAAAUAUAUGUACUUUCUAAUUACAUUAAUUAUUAAAUUAUUUUAUAACACUAUUACAACAUAUAUAUAUAUUAAAUAUGAUAAUACAACAUUCAUUUUGUACAAAAUUUUAUUUUAAGAUGUAUAAUAUAUAACAUACAUACAAUAAAUAUGUAUAUAUGGAAAUCAUAUUAAUUAAAUAAAAUCUUUUCAGAAAUUAGAAAGACAAAUGUGCAAAAUAAAAAUAAAAUAUAUUAACAAUUAUUAAUUUAUAAUGAAAGUUUAUAAAGUUUAAAUAAAUAGAUAAAUAAAUAUAUAUGUAUAUAUAUACAUAUAAAUAUAUUACAAUCACAGAGGAGCUUAAUUAGAACCUUUUAAUAGUAGGCAGGUGAUCAAAAUUCUGUUGAUAAUUCAUGGAGGAGCUUUUCGGCCGAUUUUCAUUUUGACUGUGUACCGAAGCACCAGCCUUAGGAAGUUGUGACGAAUAGCGAAUAGAAGCUUUAGUAUCUUUAAGCUGCAAAAGGUCAUUCACCUGGAAGUAUAUGGAGAGGGCUAGAGUUAUGCUAAAGAAAGAAGGAAUUAAAGACAUGUUUCUUAGAAUAAGAUGAGAAAGCUUUAUGAU